GGGUUGUGAGGUUAAGCGACUAAGCGUACACGGUGGAUGCCCUGGCAGUCAGAGGCGAUGAAGGACGUGCUAAUCUGCGAUAAGCGUCGGUGAGGUGAUAUGAACCGUUAUAACCGGCGAUUUCCGAAUGGGGAAACCCAGUGUGUUUCGACACACUAUCAUUAACUGAAUCCAUAGGUUAAUGAGGCGAACCGGGGGAACUGAAACAUCUAAGUACCCCGAGGAAAAGAAAUCAACCGAGAUUCCCCCAGUAGCGGCGAGCGAACGGGGAGGAGCCCAGAGCCUGAAUCAGUGUGUGUGUUAGUGGAAGCGUCUGGAAAGGCGUGCGAUACAGGGUGACAGCCCCGUACACAAAAAUGCACAUAUUGUGAGCUCGAUGAGUAGGGCGGGACACGUGGUAUCCUGUCUGAAUAUGGGGGGACCAUCCUCCAAGGCUAAAUACUCCUGACUGACCGAUAGUGAACCAGUACCGUGAGGGAAAGGCGAAAAGAACCCCGGCGAGGGGAGUGAAAAAGAACCUGAAACCGUGUACGUACAAGCAGUGGGAGCCUCUUAAUGGGGUGACUGCGUACCUUUUGUAUAAUGGGUCAGCGACUUAUAUUCUGUAGCAAGGUUAACCGAAUAGGGGAGCCGAAGGGAAACCGAGUCUUAACUGGGCGUUAAGUUGCAGGGUAUAGACCCGAAACCCGGUGAUCUAGCCAUGGGCAGGUUGAAGGUUGGGUAACACUAACUGGAGGACCGAACCGACUAAUGUUGAAAAAUUAGCGGAUGACUUGUGGCUGGGGGUGAAAGGCCAAUCAAACCGGGAGAUAGCUGGUUCUCCCCGAAAGCUAUUUAGGUAGCGCCUCGUGAAUUCAUCUCCGGGGGUAGAGCACUGUUUCGGCAAGGGGGUCAUCCCGACUUACCAACCCGAUGCAAACUGCGAAUACCGGAGAAUGUUAUCACGGGAGACACACGGCGGGUGCUAACGUCCGUCGUGAAGAGGGAAACAACCCAGACCGCCAGCUAAGGUCCCAAAGUCAUGGUUAAGUGGGAAACGAUGUGGGAAGGCCCAGACAGCCAGGAUGUUGGCUUAGAAGCAGCCAUCAUUUAAAGAAAGCGUAAUAGCUCACUGGUCGAGUCGGCCUGCGCGGAAGAUGUAACGGGGCUAAACCAUGCACCGAAGCUGCGGCAGCGACACUAUGUGUUGUUGGGUAGGGGAGCGUUCUGUAAGCCUGUGAAGGUGUACUGUGAGGUAUGCUGGAGGUA
rnacentral:rRNA from 1 species